AUCUCAGCCAGGAUGUUCCACCUCAGAGAGCCAGGUUCUUUGUGGAGCUCUGAUACAUACUGAAAAGUGACAAACCUGGGUAAAUUUGCCUCUCUGUCCAUAUCCUAGGUGGUAUCUGCUCCAGAUGUGUACCACAGCAUUUCUGACCUUCCCCUCACUGACCAGCACCACAAACUCAGCAUUAUCAGCGAGCUCUGUCCCCUCCUGAAUCACCCAGUAAAAAUCUGUGGCAGAGCUGAGCAUCAAGAAAGUGACUGCUUGUCAUUAAUAUCCACUUCACUUUAAACUCACUGCAGCCCUGGAAACCUCAGAAGCUGCUAUUCCAGUUGCUCAUAAUGUGCUCUUUGUUUUGUGCUUGGCUUAUCUUGGAGCACAAUGCAAUCUGAAGGAAGUACACCCACUCCCUGAUGUUUUCCUUGGGAGCCAGAAAUGUGCGUGCGGCGUUGUUUGGGGCAGUGGGUCUAAGGAGUACAUAAGAACACAAUACAGUGCUUAAGGAUUCUGAACUUGCAGAAAUCACCAUGAUCCAUAUUUCCUACCCACUCCUGUCUAUGGCCAAUGGUAUUGCAGCUCAAAUCCAGCUAAGAAGUCUUAGUGAAAUGAAGAAGUUGGACUUCCUUGUUUUACUAUUAUCUCAUACUGCCCCUUCUUUUCUGGAGAGAGAAAGGAAAAAGAGAAGGGAGAGGAAAAAAACUGAAACUGGAGAAAGGAGAAUUGAGAUGUUUUCAGGACCCGAGAUGAAAUAUUUUGUGCUGAAUUUGAAGCAUUUUAUUCAGUGA
rnacentral:lncRNA from 1 species